rnacentral:misc_RNA from 1 species
UAAAUCAUUGAGCAAUAUGUACUGGUUUCAGUAAGACUCUAAUUUCAACAAAAACUUCCUACGAAUUGAAGUCCCACAAAUUACAGACUUUAAAGACCUCAUACCAAAUUGUUUUCCCCAGAAAACUACAUACAUGGAUUCCAAUGCUCAACCUGGAAAGAAAAAUGUCCAAUACAGCAACUUCCAAAGGAACUAUUAUUUGUAGGAGUCUAGAUAUGAUGGAAUAUAAUACAUCAUGUAACAACGAAAACAACAAUUAGUAGUUAGGACCUAGCAUUCAGAGACAAGCAUAAAUGACAAUGUGAAACCAGUCAAGAAAAUAAUAUUAAAGUAGCUAACUGACCCAGCAUUCAGAAUUCCUACAUCCAUUUUCAUAUAUGCAAAUUAAAAAAAUGCAAGUAUUUUUGUUGCAAUAAGGAGACACACCUCUAUCCCACCAAUGCAGAA